rnacentral:rRNA from 1 species
UACGGAGGGGACUAGCGUUGUUCGGAAUUACUGGGCGUAAAGCGCACGUAGGCGGAUUUGUAAGUCAGGGGUGAAAUCCCGAGGCUCAACCUCGGAACUGCCUUUGAUACUGCAAAUCUCGAGUCCGGAAGAGGUGAGUGGAAUUCCUAGUGUAGAGGUGAAAUUCGUAGAUAUUAGGAAGAACACCAGUGGCGAAGGCGGCUCACUGGCCCGGUACUGACGCUGAGAUACGAAAGCGUGGGGAGCAAACAGG